rnacentral:rRNA from 1 species
AUUGAACGCUGGCGGCAUGCUUUACACAUGCAAGUCGAACGGUAACAGGCCGCAAGGUGCUGACGAGUGGCGAACGGGUGAGUAAUGCAUCGGAACGUGCCCAGUCGUGGGGGACAACGCAGCGAAAGCUGUGCUAAUACCGCAUACGAUCUAUGGAUGAAAGCGGGGGACCGUAAGGCCUCGCGCGAUUGGAGCGGCCGAUGUCAGGUUAGGUAGUUGGUGGGGUAAAGGCCUACCAAGCCGACGAUCUGUAGCUGGUCUGAGAGGACGACCAGCCACACUGAGACUGAGACACGGCCCAGACUCCUACGGGAGGCAGCAGUGGGGAAUUUUGGACAAUGGGCGCAAGCCUGAUCCAGCAAUGCCGCGUGCAGGAAGAAGGCCUUCGGGUUGUAAACUGCUUUUGUACGGAGCGAAAAGGCUUCCACUAAUACUGGGGGCUCAUGACGGUACCGUAAGAAUAAGCACCGGCUAACUACGUGCCAGCCGCCGCAGUAAAAC